UACGGGGGGGGCAAGCGUUGUUCGGAAUUACUGGGCGUAAAGGGCUCGUAGGCGGCCAACUAAGUCGGAUGUGAAAUCCCCAGGCUUAACCUGGGAACUGCAUCCGAUACUGGAUGGCUUGAAUUCGGGAGAGGGAUGCAGAAUUCCAGGUGUAGCGGUGAAAUGCGUAGAUAUCUGGAGGAACACCGAUGGCGAAGGCAGGUCUCUGGGCUGAAACUGACGCUCAUGCACGAAAGCGUGGGGAGCAAACAGG
rnacentral:rRNA from 1 species